UUAAAAUUUAUUUUUAACUGAAGAUACUGCUACUACAAAGGUUUUUAAAUGUCCUCAUGGCAGGCAAGCCCACCGAGGAAACAGGGUACUCAUAAACAAAGGGUGCUAUCUCAAUGGGGACGAAUCCCCACGGUAAUGAUCCUUCCGCAGGUUCACCUACGGAAA
rnacentral:misc_RNA from 1 species